UUGCUUCAGCAGCACAUAUACUAAAAGGGGAAGGAAACAGAGAAGAUUAGCAGGGUUCCUGUGUAAGGAUGACAUGCAAAUUUGUGAAGACUUCCAUAUUUUU
rnacentral:snRNA from 1 species